rnacentral:rRNA from 1 species
AUGGAUUUUCCCGUCGCUCCGAUGGACAGCAUCAAAACAAGCUUAGAGCUUCGAUCCAACGUGCUCAGGUUGCCCAUAUUCCCGGAUGAGGCGGCUAGCGCGGCGGCCCUAAUUGAAUUGAUUGGUGGGGCUGGUCGUGCGGAAAAGGAAUUAACCAACGGAUCUGGCGGGGCGGUGGUUGGAGGAUUUGGGCGCAGCUCAGCUGGGCAGUUCGGGGGUGGUGCUAUGUGCGGCGAGGAAACAAGUGUGGCUGCCGGCGGCCCUGCCGUGUCAAUGCAAACGCCGUUGACCAGGGCGGCGUUGAAGCACAUUUUGAUGGAGAUCAGGGCGCUGUGA